UGGGGAAUAUUGCACAAUGGGGGAAACCCUGAUGCAGCAACGCCGCGUGAAUGAUGAAGGCCUUCGGGUCGUAAAGUUCUUUGAUUGGGGACGAUAAUGACGGUACCCAAAAAACAAGCCACGGCUAACUACGUG
rnacentral:rRNA from 1 species